rnacentral:rRNA from 1 species
UACGAAGGGGGCUAGCGUUGCUCGGAAUCACUGGGCGUAAAGGGUGCGUAGGCGGGUCUUUAAGUCAGGGGUGAAAUCCUGGAGCUCAACUCCAGAACUGCCUUUGAUACAGCAAGUCUUGAGUUCGAGAGAGGUGGGUGGAAUUCCUAGUGUAGAGGUGAAAUUCGUAGAUAUUAGGAAGAACACCGGUGGCGAAGGCGGCCCACUGGCUCGACACUGACGCUGAGGCGCGAAAGCCAGGGGAGCAAACGGG